rnacentral:lncRNA from 1 species
CCUCUCUUCUCUCUCUCGCGUCACGCAUUCCCCGCCGCGCGCACCACCACCCGCCGCAGCCGCCCGACGCGGACGGCGCGGCGGCAGGCAGGGCAGGAGGUGUCACUUCACUUGCCUUCGAAUUCGGUCGUCUCCACCCACGGCAUCGAUUGCCCACGCGCACGCGCCGCCCGCUUUGCCGUAUUCCACCGCAAGCAACCUAUAUAGGGGUGGUAGUGUUUUUGCUGCUCUGUUGCGGUUGCAGUGAGGGAGGAGGGAUGGAUCUGAAGGAUGGCGGGGGGUCGGAGAGGAGGGGAGCGGCGGGGGCG